GAUUCUCAGGGCGGGGUGAAAAUCCCCACCGGCGGUAAUCGCGCAAGCGUAGCCCGCGGGCGCUCUAUCUAGUUCGAACGUGAGUGAAAACUCAAGUGCGAAGUUCUUAGCUUAUGAAGCUUCCAGCUCACAUAGGCUAGCAAGAUAGGGGACAGCAGACUCGGUGUGAUUCCGAGGCCGACAGUUAAAGUCUGGUUAUGAGAAUG
rnacentral:ncRNA from 1 species